GAGAAAAGAAGAGAAAGAACAAAGAGUGAAGAGGAAAGCUAAGUAGAGGGGAAGAUUGAAGAAGAGCUAGGAGAUGAAGGAUUAGAGAAUCCAACAUCAAUAAGGUAUGAGAGUAGUAAUUUAUUCAUUUUGAGAUGGUUCAUAAAGAGGGGAGAAGAACCUUUCUUCUCCAUACCCAAACUCUUUCAUCUCUAUGGGUUGUGAUUAAUUUGGGAAUUGGGAAUGUGUUUAUAUUCCUUGUUGAUGCA
rnacentral:lncRNA from 1 species